AGAAAAAUGGGUGUGACAGCUAGCUGACGUGGCAUGUUUGGGGGCGUUUGAAAGGGGAUGCAUUGGAGAUGCUUUAAGUGAAAUCCCAUUUGAGAUUUAUCGGAACUCGUAAUUUGGUGUUAGGUUCACCAAUGUGACUAUGGUUUUAUAAUUUGAUUCUUAAAGUUUAAUUAUUCAAAUGCCACUGGACAAAACGGAGACACAAUACCUGCGUUUGGGUUGCAGCCCGUGAGGGAAACUCAAGAGAAGCAGAUACAACUCUGGAAGGAACUAAUUAUCGCUUAUUGUCGGAUGCAGAAGUUAUUUAUAAUUGGAUUAGAAGAGGACUUUCCACUAUUCUCAAACCCUGCUAUAGAAAGUGACCACUGCUUUCUUCUAGAUUCCACUUCGCGUUUGAUUAUAUGCUUCACUAAACCCUUUGCAUUGAUUAGAAAUGGUAAUCAUAUAGAACUGUAUUUUGUUUUCUGAAUCAAGUUGGGUCCGGUAAUGCAGGGUCUUUAAAUUAUGAUGCAAGAUCAGCUUUCUUAUCAGCUCUAGUUUCAGACGGUCGUGCAGAAUGGACGGAUAAGGGUCAUAGACAGUGUCUCAUCCUCUGGCACCAAAUUCAAGAAUGGGCAGACAUUAUUUUACGCUUUGUAAAGGAUAACGGGUUGGAGGACAGCGUAAUGACGCUGGAGGAAAUGCGUUCAGGAGUUGAAUCACGUGGAACAGACAUUCAUGGGAUGGACCAUACGGUGUUAACGAGAGCACUUAAACUUCUAGAAAACAAGGGAAAGCUUGCAAUCUUCAAGGGAACUUCAACUGACGAUGAAGGUGUUAAAUUUUCCGUGUGAUCUAAUACGAACGCGUAGUGUAGUUCUAGCACGCCGUGACAAUUUUUUCAGUUUUUCAUUCAAAUAAUAAUAUUAACACACUUCCAUAUGGAUACUGCUCCAAGAUUGCCUUCAUUAGUCUAUAGACUCUACAGUUAUUUGAUUUUU